GCGAGCGGCGAUAGCACGUUGACUACACCAGUUCAAUGGUUCACUGGGGUUAAGUAACUUUGCGCGUGGUUGGUAUCCGGAAGGGUGACCAUCUGGACAAUCGCGUGCUGUUGGCU
rnacentral:rRNA from 1 species